CAUGUUGCAUAAUAGGGUUAAUUGUGAGCUUUUUAUGGCAUGAUUAUGAGUUGAAAUGCAUGUGAAUAACUUGUAAAAAAAUGUGCGAAUUUGUAAACCCUAUAUAUGCAUGAUAAGUGACAAGAACCUAGAAGGGUUAGUGAACAAAAGUGACACAUGGACAUAGAUCUAGUGAGUGAUAUUGAUGAGUCUAGAACACCUAGAAAAACAAGUGUGGCAUUUGGCAUGAGAACAAGAACAUAACACUUAGAAAACAAGUGUGGCAUGAGUGCAAAAAUUUUGUAGUGCAUAUGACACUAGUGCUAGUAAAGAAUGAAAAAGAAAAGAAUAAUUGAAACAUUAUGACAUUUCAACCUUAGAGUUAAGGGUUAUUGAGCAUGGUCUUCCUUAAAGUUAAGGAAUGGAUUGAACUUGGAAUCCUCAAUGUAGGAUUGAUCGUACUCACCUUUAGUCCUUGCUCGAGGGUGGUAGCUCCCCCUCGGGCGAUGUGCUCCGGAGUCGACAUCACUGGGUCGUAGCGGGUAUCUCCGCAGAGGACGGUCCUAUCGGGUUGUAGCAGGUAUCUCCCUGGUUAAAUAGGAUUUUGGGUUGGUGAGUUUGUUGAGGGCGAAACCUACGGGGUAGCCAAGAGAUUGGGUAAAGAAAUUAUAAUCUUGCAUUCAUCAUGAGCAUUAUAUCGAGCAUCGCAUUUUAUAUUGUUCAGGCAUAUUAGUUGCAUUUAUUAGUUGGUUACUUUCUUUUCCCUAUUCUAUUAUGCCUGAUUAGACCUAGUGGGAUAGUCGGCGUGGUUAGUUGACGAACCUACUGAAAAUUUUGUUGUAGUUCUCGCACCCCUAUUUCCACAGAGCCGAGACCGAGCCAGGCGGCUGACGACCGCUGUAAGGGCAUCACGCCCUAGGUAGAGACCGCCCGAGAUGUUCUAUUUCAUAGUUGCAUACCCUUUGAUAUAUCAUCUUUUGUAUUUGAUGAUUUUAGUAUCAAGAACAUGUUUAAAUGAAUGAUGUAAAGAAUAUUUAUUUUAAAUGUCAAAAGUUAUAUUUUGGGAGAAAUGAAAUGUAAAAAGAAAUGAUGCAAUAAUUGUACUCGAUUUCCUAAGUGUAGUUAUUUACUUUCACUAUUGGCUAUGGCUUGCCCACGUGCAAGCCAUUGUGUAUGCUUCCGCUUAUGCAAACUUUAUACUCUAUUGAUACUUGUUGUUGAGCCUUGGGCGGACAGGGGAGGCUCUGUCCGUUCGGCGUCUGUUCGACGCUCUCGAACCGGCCAAAAGGAUCGGGCUCGAGGCGUGACAGAUAAGAUGGUAUCAGAGCGUAAAGAGCCUAAAAGUGAAAGUAUAGGAUGGACCUAAAGACCCUUAGGAAUGGAAAACCUUAAGGAUCUAGGAAACGUGAGUGACGUUGAACGAGUUAUAGCGAAGGCAUGAUUGUAUUGAGGUAAUUGUGUCUCUAAUGUGGUUAGGGACUAAACUUAAAUUGUUAUUUGUUUUCUACUCUUUGUGUUGUGAUCGGCGGCCGACGACAUGACGCUUUGGAAUGAAAAUAAAUACACUUAUAUGCUUUCGCCGGAUUGGGUAUAAUCGAGUAAGUUGUCUAAGUGACUAACGUGAGUUGCUUCUUUUCAGGAAGCAAUGCCGCCUCGUGGACGACCUAAGUUGCCUCGUGGUCGACCGCGGACGAGCUCUAUGGCCGAGGAGUUAAGUACGGCUCCCGUGCAACUGGGAGCAGGUGGUGACGGGGAGCUUCGGGAGCAGAUGGCCAUGCUUAUUGGCGUAGUGCGGCAGCAGGCGGAAUCCGUUCAAUGCCAAGGGGAGCAAAUCCAAAGACUGCAGGAGGCCUUAGAGCGAUAGCAGGCGGCGGCGGCGCCCGUGGAGGCCGUGCACCCUGCGCCUCCUGCAGUGGUGCCGAGUACGGCCGAGGGUGUGGCCGCGGCAGCCGUGCCAGUUACAAUCGUGCCGGCUAGUUUGGGGACCUCAAACCCCGAUAGUGUGGCAGAGGAGGCGGAGCGGGAGCGCGCGUUGGCGGCUCUAAUUCAAUUUCAGAAGUUCAACCCACCUACCUUCGAAGGGGGAGUGGUGGAACCGGCGGUGGUGGAGUCCUGGAUCGACUCCAUGGAGACACUUUUCGACGACUUUAACACCUUGGAGAAGGACAAGGUGUACCUCGCCACACAUUGCCUCGAGAAGGUAGCGAAGGUGUGGUAGAAACGUGUUAGGCGGGACCGAUCACCCGAUCUUCCGCCUAUGUUGUGGGAGGAGUUUCGGAGAGCGGUGUUCGCCAACUACUUCCCCGAUACGGUAAAGCGGAAGUUGCAAGAGAAAUUCUGCAAGUUGAGGCAAGGGGAUUGCUCGGUGGCAGACUACGAGCAGGAGUUCUCCCACCUCAUUGACUGCGUCCCGGAUGUUGUUAGGGAUGACCGAGACCGAGCAGACUGGUUCCUACGAGGAUUGCGGCCGGGGAUCCAUAGGGCCGUGCAAAUCCUUAAGCUCACGACCUUUGCAGAGGUCUUUGAUCGGGCUUUGUGGGCGGAGCAUGGCUAUGCCCACGAACGCGAGGAGCGCGAGUUCGCAGCCGAGGCAAAGGAGAAGAGCAAGAAGCGGACAACGGGUGACACCGAGGGCCGGCCGAAUGCUAAGAAACCCCCUCGGUAUCCCCGACAGCAGUCAAGAGAUUGGAGGCCAUCUCGUUGUGUUAUUUGCGGCGGCAACCAUCAACCGCCGUCAUUCCCGCAGCGGGAUGGGAAAUGCUUCAAGUGUGGCCAACCUGGGCAUGUGUCGCGAGAGUGCCCUAGUUGGGGUUCAUCUGCACCGACCUCGGCAUCAGUUCCUUAUACCCUGAGACAGCAGGCGGGAUUACCGCUGGCUAUGUCAGCUGGACGCUCGUCUUCAUCGCGUCAACCGGAGGCAUCGAGAGCACCGAGUGGACGGGUUUUUGCCACUCAGGUGGAGGAGGAGCCGAUUCCUAUUUCCGACGACAUCGUGGCAGGUAUUAUCUCGAUCAGAGGCACUAGAGCUAGAGCUUUAUUCGACACUGGUGCAUCGCAUUCAUUCAUAGAUGCAUCAUUCGCUAGGACUCAUGGCAUUAAGAUUGUGCAACAUUACGACUAUUGGACGGUGAAUUCGGUCGAGCAUACUUUCCAUGUUCACGAAGAGUGUGUAGCGUGCCCAGUGCAGAUAGGUGAUUGGGUCAUGCCGAUCGACCUGUUAGUGUUGAAUCGAAUGUGGGAUUUCGACGUGAUCUUGGGGAUCAACUAGCUCUCCAAGUAUUAUGCCGUGAUAGAUUGCGAAAGUAAGGUGAUCACGUUCCGUGAGCCUAAUCGAGAGGAGCUAGUAUAUCAGGUGUCAAAAAGCUCGCUCUUCGCGGCGACCGUGUCGGCGGGACGGGCGAGGAAAAUGAUAAGAGGUGGUUGUGAAGCCUAUUUAGCGACCGUGGUAGAAGCCCCGAAGGAGCGCCCGGAACUUAGUGGUAUUCGGGUGGCGUGUGAAUUUCCGGAUGUAUUUUCGGCGGAGCUACCGGGUUUGCCACCGGAUCGAAAGAUCGAGUUCGUUAUUGACUUGGUACCCGGGGCGGCUCCAAUUUCGAAGGCUCCGUAUAGAAUGGCACCGGCAGAGCUAAAGGAGCUCAAGGCGCAGUUGCAAGACUUGCUCGACAAAGGCUUUGUGAGGCCGAGCGCGUCACCCUGGGGAGCUCCGGUGCUAUUCGUUAAGAAGAAGGACGGCACAUUUCGACUCUACGUGGACCCUGGGGAGCUCCGGUGCUAUUCGUUAAGAAGAAGGACGGCACACUUCGACUCUGCGUGGAUUACCGCGAGUUGAACAAGGUUACUGUGAAGAAUAAGUACAAGUUGUCGAGGAUUGAUGACUUAUUUGAUCAGUUGCAAGGGUCGAGAGUAUAUUCAAAGAUCGAUCUUCAAUCGAGAUAUCAUCAGUUGAAGAUACGGCCCGAGGAUGUGCACAAGAUGGCGUACCGUACGCGGUAUGGCCAUUAUGAGUUCACGGUGAUGCCGUUUGGGCUUACUAACGCCCCGGCGGUGUUCAUGGACUUAAUGAAUAGCGUCUUCCGUCCACUAUUGGACCGGUGCGUCGUGGUAUUCAUUGACGACGUAUUGGUAUAUUCUCGGACCGAGGAGGAACACGAGGAGCAUUUGAGGACCGUGUUGGAAAUACUCCGAAAAGAGAAGUUAUAUGCCAAGUUGAAGAAAUGCGACUUUUGGCUAUCGGAGGUCACUUUCCUUGGUCAUGUAAUUUCGGGUGAUAGUAUCUCGAUUGACCCGAAGAAAGUUGAGAUAAUUAGAGAUUGGCCUCCCCCGACGAGCGUAUCGGAGGUCCGCAGUUUCCUUGAGCUAGCGGGCUAUUACCGGCGAUUCGUGGAGGGGUUUGCUAAAAUAACUACUCCACUAACGCGCAUCACACAUAAAGGGGUGAAAUAUGUUUGGAGCCUCGAAUGCGAGCGAAGCUUUGAGGAGUUAAAAGAAAGAUUGAACACGACCCCGGUGCUUGCUCUACCGACGCCGGGGGAGACCUUUGUGGUUUAUAGUGAUGCUUCCUACGUAGGACUCGGGUGUGUCUUGAUGCAAGACGGGCGGGUUAUAGCUUAUGCUUCACGCUAAUUGAAGACGUAUGAGAAGAACUACCCGAUCCACGAUCUUGAGCUAGCGGCGGUGAUAUUCGCGCUAAAAUUAUGGAGGCAUUACUUAUACGGGGAACAUUGUGAGAUCUAUACAGAUCACAAAAGCCUUAAAUACUUGUUCACCCAAAAGGAGUUAAAUAUGCGGCAGCGGUGGUGGUUAGAAUUGUUGAAGGACUAUGAUGUUACUAUUCUAUACCACCCCAGGAAAGCAAAUGUGGUUGCCGAUGCACUUAGUAGAAAAUCGGAAAAAAAAUUUGGCUUCGGCAAUUACACUGUAAGGAAGUGAAUUCUCGAAAUUCGAGGAUUGUACUUCAUCCCGGAUCGACUAACUGUCGAGAGUGUAUCCUUUGUGGGAGUUGGAAAUGUCCGAAACACAAAAAGUGCUUUGGAGUUGAGUCCGCGAGAGCAAAUGAGGCAAACUGCGUCAUUGGGCUGAUGCUGCUCUCGGGGACCGGUCUCUGCAGGUGAGAGACCAGUUCCACUGGCUGGUUGUAGCGGGGUUGCAUGAUGCAACCGGUCCCUGGUAGGGAGGGACCGGUUCCCGAACGUGGUCCCAGCGAGAGAUGCCAAAAAUUGGCUAAGUCCUGAAAAUCGAGCUCUCGGGGACCGGUCUCUCAAGCGAGGACCGGUCUCCCGAGGACCGGUCUCCCGGGGAGAGACCGGUUCCUGAAUACGUGCGCCCGAGGGAAGCUCUCGGGGACCGGUCCCAAGUCGGGGAGACCGGUCCCUCCGCGCGAAAACCGCCCAGUAAGGGUUGUGCAAUAGAUGGAAAGUUGAGGGGUUUUUAUGCAAAAUAGCCUUUAAUAGAGUGGGUUGAGCCCUCUCUCUCUCCCUCACACUCUCAUUUUCCUCUCUUUCUCUCUUGCUCUCUCUCUCUCUCUCUCUAGAGAAGAAAGGAGAAAAAGAAGAAGAAGAAGGAGAGGAAGGAAAAGAAGAGAAAGAACAAGGAGGAGAAGAAGAAGGAGACCAAGAAGAAGGCUUUGGACACCUUCAUCUCCUUCUCCUCUUCCCAUUGGUGUAGCUCUUGAGGUAGGCUACCAAACCCUAGCUUUGUAAACUUAGGGUUUUUGGGUUUUUAUGCUUUGGAAUGGGUCAAAUGGACCCUAAGCUUGCUUCUAAAUAGAUCAAUCCCAAGAAAUCUAGGGAUUUAUUGGUGGUUUGCUAUAGGUGCAAACCUAGGGCUCCAAAAUGGGGUUUUUGUAAAAGUAUGAGAUUGAUCUCAUUUGAAGCCUUGGAAACCUUAUUGAUAGGUCACAAAACGCGGGGGCGAAGUCAAUUUUGGCAUCCGGCGAACCAACGUGAAGUUCUCGGCAAAAUCGGACCGGGCUAGUGUUGAUUCGGGCGAGGAAGGCUAAAGCCUUUUCGUAAAGCUCGCCGAGAGAGAUUUCCGAAACCUCUACAUCGAUUAAAGGUGGGGGGUGUCAUCCGAAACUUUCGAACUCCUUUCUAUGUCUUAGAUUGCAUUUAAUCUCAUCUCUUCAUGUGCAUUGUAGGAUUGCAUAGUAGUUCCAUUCCUUAUACUUUCUAAUUGAUAACCUAGUGUACUUGGAACGCUUGGUAAUUUAGAUAGGUGAGGAUUGGGUCGAGACGUGAAUCCUAUGGUGCGAAAGAAAAGAGAUGAACCCGAUGGGGGUAUUGAUGACAUAGGAAGUAGUGGAUAGUGUUAAAGAACACGAGUGGCAUCCGAAUGAUAAAUGAUGACGAGUGGCAUUAAUGUAGUGUAAAUAACACUAGAGGUCGAUGGACCUAGGGAUAGGUGGAUCCCUUAGAAAAUGCCUUGUGAACAAUGAAUUUAGAAAACUAAAUAGCAUUGUAUGAAUGUCGGGAACCGAUGAUUCUGCGAUAGUCGUUGACCCUAGUGUAGGGCGUCCUCACUUGGAGAGGAUUCGAUUGGGUUAUUGACUCUAGUUGUAGAGCCUCCUCACUUGAAGAGGAUUGGAUUGGGUGUUGACCCUGGCUACAGUGUAUCCUCACAUGGAGAGGAUAGAUCUAGCUCACAGUCUGCGUUUAGGGUGGCAUAGCCAUCCAAUCCCCACAUGGAGGGGAUUGUCGUCGAGUACUCCGGAGUGUCGCGCGACUAGGACCACUUGGAGGUCCGGACCACAUGGAGGUCCGCAGACGGUCCCGGGCUUGGGUGCACUUGGAGCUCCCUCCCCACUUUGGGAUUGAAAGGUGAGUCAUGGGCGAGCCCUAGGGCCUCGCCACAGAUUGGGUAAAUGGAAAGAUUAUUAAUGUCAUUAAACAUUGCUAUUCGAACAUGGAUCGAACUUGUUAGCAUGAUAGCAAACUUUUAUUAUAUGAUGCAUGCAUUCAUACUUAUGAUUAUGGGCAUAGUAGCAUAGUUUUCCUACUAUUGCAUUUACAGCUUUCAGAUACAUAUCUAUCUAUCCAUCUGUUGUUACUUGUGCCCAUUUGGACCUAGUGGGGAGAUCGGCAGAGUCGGCGACCGAGCCCACUGGGAACUAUGAAAGAUAGUUCUCAUCCCACUCUAUUUCCAGUGGUAGGUUCAGGGCUGCAGAGAGAGGACCGCGGUAAGGGCGUCGCGCCCGACCAGUGAGACCGUAAUAGUAUAGUAGCUUUCCUUUUUGCAUUAGUCACCUAUGUAUAGAGAGGGAUUUAUUGUAGGUGAGGAUUUGGAGAGCUAUGUAUUUUGGAUGAAAAAUGUAUUCAUUUAAAGAAAAUGAUGUAAUGAGAAUGUUGAAACUAUUGUAAUAGUUAGUAAAGUACUCUCUUUAUUUCACUAGUUUUAUCUUGUGGAUUACUUGCUUUUGUAUUGUCGGCACUGUUUGUGCCCUCUUGAAUGUGUAUGCUUAGAAUUUAAUUUCCUGGGUAAAUUCUUGUAUGCAUUCCUGUUGUUGAGCCUUGGGCGGAAAGGGGAGGUACUGUCCGUUCGGCGGCCCGCCGCCGCGGCCAAACCGUGCCAAAUUGGUAGUAGAUUCGGGGCGGGGCGUGACAUACACCCCAACCAUUGUUGCAAAAGGAGAUGCAACGGCUUCGCUUCAAAGUAGUGGAGCCGGGAGUGCCGGCUACACUUGCCGCGUUAGUAGUGCAACCGACCUUGUUCGAGAGGAUAAAAGAGCUACAAGCUUCCGAUGAGUAUCUCCAAAAGGUGCGCGGUGAAGUUGAGAGCGGUAGUGCCCGUGAUUUUGGCAUUGGGACCGAUGGCGCACUCCGGUUUAGAAACCGUUGAUGUGUGCCUAAGAACAAGGACGUCUGCAGGGCGAUUAUGCAAGAGGCGCAUCAAUCUCCUUAUAGUAUACACCCGAGCGGCACCAAAAUGUACCAAGAUUUGAGAUUGUAUUAUUGGUAGCCGGGCAUGAAGAAAGACAUUGGGGAGUUUGUUGCGCAAUGUCUUACCUGCCAACAAGUAAAAGCGGAGCGGCGGUUUUCGGCGGGAAAGUUGCAAAGUUUACCUAUACCCGUUUGGAAAUGGGAGAAUAUCGCAAUGGACUUCGUGACCGGAUUGCCUCGAUCUCAAGGUGGACACGAUGCAAUUUGGGUGAUAGUAGACAGGUUGACGAAGUCGGCACAUUUCCUACCGAUUCAUGUUAGUUGGUCGGGGGACAAGUUGGCUCAACUAUAUAUCAACGAGGUUGUGAGACUUCACGGGGUACCGGUGUCUAUUGUAUCAGAUCGGGACCCGAGGUUCACAUCUCAUUUUUGGAGGAGCCUACAGGAGGCCUUAGGCACACGGCUCGACUUUAGCACAACAUUUCAUCCUCAAAGUGAUGGUCAAUCAGAAAGGACGAUACAAAUACUUGAGGAUAUGCUUCGAGCGUGUGUAUUGGACUACAAGGGUAGUUGGCAUGAUCAUCUACCGAUGGCGGAGUUCGCGUACAAUAAUAGUUACCAAGAAAGUAUCGCGAUGGCGCCAUUCGAGGCCCUUUAUGGAAGGAAAUGUCGCUCCCCGAUUCAUUGGAGCGAUGUGGGCGAGAGAGCUCCUCUUGGCCCGGAGGUAGUGCGGGAGGUGGAGGAGAAAGUUCGCCUUGCCUGCCAAAGGCUUGCUACGGCGCAAUCUCGACAAAAGAGCUAUGCCGACAAACGGAGAAAAGAUAUAGAGUUUGCAGUUGGCGACCACGUCUUUCUAAAAGUGUCGCCGAUGUGAGGAAUUAGACGGUUUGGGCUCCGGGGAAAGCUAAGUCCCCGGUACCUUGGACCGUUUGAGAUAUUGGAGCGGGUCGGUGCGGUGGCGUACAAGAUAGCAUUACCAUCGAGGCUUGCGGGAGUACACGACGUGUUCCAUGUAUCGAACCUCCGCAAGUAUGUUCACGAUCCCGAUCAUGUUCUCUCGUUCGAACCGUCCGAGAUCCAAGAGGACAUGACCUAUGAGGAGUUCCCGGCAUACAUCAUCGAUCGAGAAGUAAGAAAACUACUAAAUCGCGAGAUUCCGUAUGUUAAGGUUCGUUGGUGGAAUCACGAUGAUCGGGAAGCUACUUGGGAGCUCGAGAGCACAAUGCGGGAGCAUUACCCUCAUCUUUUCGAUGAAACGAAUUGAGGUACGAGUUUAAGUUUAAAUUAAGUUAGUUUCGCGGAUGAAACUAAAGAGGUGGAGAAUGUAACAUACCGAAACCUUGGUAAGUAAAUUCGAACCUUGGUCAAAUUGACCAAAGUGCGAAGUUGGUACACUUCGGAGAGGCCGAAGGCGUCAAAUAAUGCAAAAUGCAUUACUGGGAAUCUUCUAGAGUUUUUGGAAAUCAAAAUCUACAAACUGCAGGUUUUGUGCUCUCGGGGACCGAUCCCUGGUGGAAGAGACCGGUCCCCGAACGCGUAGGCAGCGAGAAGGCUGAGAAAUCGGCUAAGUUCUGGAAAACCAGCUCUCGGGAACCGAUACUUGCGAGGAUAGACCGGUUCCAUCAGGGGGAGACCGGUUGCAUCGCGCGCAGCCUGCGUAGUCCGCGGAAGAAGCUCUCGGGGACCGGUCCCAGGUCGGGGAGACUGGUCCCUGACUGCGGAAAAUGUCCAGUCUAGGCAGUGCACAAAGAAAGAGUUGGAGGGCUUAGUUGCAAAUGUUGCAACAUGUUAUAUAGCCCAUUCCCUCUCCUCUCUUCACAGCAAACACACUUCCCUCUCUCCCUCUUAUUUUCUCUUCUUUCUCUCUCUAUAAAGCAAGCCCUAGAGCUUGGAGAAGGUGGAGAAAAGCUUGGAGGAAGUGGAUUUUGGAGGUUUGGUGGUUCUAGAAGCUCUCGAACAAGAAGGAGCUUGCUAGAACUUGGGCCAAGGUAAGUUUUUAGCAUGUAGAGCUCUAGGGUUUGGAUUUUAACCUUAGAUUUUGAGUUUUGAUCUCUCUACAAGUGAGGAAACCCUCUAGAGACCUUGAAACUAUGAAAUCCAUGGUUGUCUUGAACUCCUCUCAUGGUGAACUUCUAGGGUUCAUCUUGGAUGCCCUAGAAAUGGCCUAGUUGGCCUUAGGUGAUUUCCUGGAGGUUAAAUAAGCUCUCUUUUGCUUGUUUUAGAGAUCAAAACCUAGGGUUUAGCAAUGGAUUUGGUUAGGGAACCAAAUUUGGGGCUUUUGCCUCCGAAUGUUUUUAAGGCAAAUUGACCUUGUAGAAACCUAAUUGGGGGUGUCCCCGACACGUUGGACAACUCCAUUCGACGUUACGAAAAUGUUUAAGUAUGGUUCAUGUACAAAAGGCCUAAAGUGGCACUAUUUUGAUUGUAGGUCGCGAUAUCAGCUUUCGUAAAGUUCGGGAGUCGUCAUAUUCUGCACCCACACGACCACUCGAGGUGGGUGGUGCAUUCCAAGGAUUUCGAAAAUUCCUUUAUGUCUAAAGUGUCAUAUUUGAGCAUAUGUAUAUAUAUUGAGCAUGUUGCAUAAUAGGGUUAAUUGUGAGCUUUUUAUGGCAUGAUUAUGAGUUGAAAUGCAUGUGAAUUACUUGUAAAAAAAUAUGAGAAUUUGUAAACCCUGUAUAUGCAUGAUAAGAGACAAGAACCUAGAAGGGUUAGUGAACAAAAGUGACACAUGGACAUAGAUCUAGUGAGUGACAUUGAUGAGUCUAGAACACCUAGAAAAACAAGUGUGGCAUUUGGCAUGAGAAUAAGAACAUAGCACUUAGAAAACAAGUGUGGCAUGAGUUCAAGAAUUUUGUAGUGCAUAUGACACUAGUGAUAGUAAAGAAUGCAAAAGAAAAGAAUGAUUGAGACAUUAUGACAUUUCAACCUUAGAGUUAAGGGUCAUUGAGCAUAGUCUUCCUUAAAGUUAAGGAAUGGAUUGAACUUGGAAUCCUCAAUGUAGGAUUGAUCGUACUCACCUUUAGUCCUUACUCGAGAGUGGUAGCUCCCCCUCGAACGAUGUGCUCCGGAGUCGACAUCACUGGGUCGUAGGAGGUAUCUCCCCAGAAGACGGUCCUAUCGAGUUGUAGCGGGUAUCUCCCCGGUUAAAUAGGAUUUUGGGUUGGUGAGUUUGUUAAGGGCGAAACCUACGAGUUAGCCAAGAGAUUGGGUAAAGAAAUUGUAAUCUUGCAUUCAUCAUGAGCAUUAUAUCGAGCAUCGCAUUUUAUAUUGUUCAGGCAUAUUAGUUGCAUUUAUUAGUUGGUUACUUUCUUUUCCUUAUUCUAUUAUGCC
rnacentral:lncRNA from 1 species